GAGUUUGAUCAUGGCUCAGAUUGAACGCUGGCGGCAGGCCUAACACAUGCAAGUCGAGCGGUAGCACAAGAGAGCUUGCUCUCUGGGUGACGAGCGGCGGACGGGUGAGUAAUGUCUGGGAAACUGCCUGAUGGCGGGGGAUAACUAGUGGAAACGGUAGCUAAUACCGCAUAACGUCGCAAGACCAAAGUGGGGGACCUUCGGGCCUCACGCCAUCAGAUGUGCCCAGGUGGGAUUAGCUGGUAGGUGGGGUAACGGCUCACCUAGGCGACGAUCCCUAGCUGGUCUGAGAGGAUGACCAGCCACACUGGAACUGAGACACGGUCCAGACUCCUACGGGAGGCAGCAGUGGGGAAUAUUGCACAAUGGGCGCAAGCCUGAUGCAG
rnacentral:rRNA from 1 species